UCCGGUUUAACACCGGCAGUAUCCUUAGAGUGCCCAACUUAAUGAUGGCAACUAAGGAAAAGGGUUGCGCUCGUUGCGGGACUUAACCCAACAUCUUACGACACGAGCUGACGACAGCCAUGCAGCACCUAUCUCCAGGUCCCCGAAGGGACGCUUACAUCUCUGCAAGCUUCCUGGGAUGUUAAGGCCAGGUAAGGUUCUGCGCGUUGCUUCGAAUUAAACCACAUACUCCACCGCUUGUGCGGGCCCCCGUCAAUUCCUUUGAGUUUUAGCCUUGCGACCGUACUCCCCAGGCGGGAUACUUAAUGCGUUAGCUUUGGUACUCAGAGGGUUAACACUCCAAACACCUAGUAUCCAUAGUUUACGGCGUGGACUAC
rnacentral:misc_RNA from 1 species